UAGCCACCCCUUUUAAUAUUGCCGAAAUCUGGUUUCGACACUAGGGCGGCCAGAUCGCGCGGCGGCGGUCCUCGGGCGGCUUGCGACGGCGUGCGGCUGCGUCGACGGCCAGCGGCGGCAGUCCUCGGGCGGCUCGGCGACACCGUGCGGCAGCGUCGACGGCCUGCAGCGGCGGUCUUCUCCGUCGCCGCUCACCGCGCCGGCUUGCUCGCCCCUCGCCGCUUGCCGCGCCGACCUCCGUUUCCAUCACUGCCGGGUGUGGGAGCGGUGGAUCUGCCGGCGCCGUGGCUGCCACCAGCAGACCAAACAACCCUACUGCUAACGGAAUCUCCAUCUCUAUGUGUUACUAUGUUAUGCGUGUAUCGUCUUAAUUAGCUAAGUAGCUGCGGUGCGACCGUGAGUCUGACUGAACUGAUCUUUGGUCUGUGGUUACUGGCGGUGCCUAAAGGUUUCUUUUCUUGAUUAUACUUGGGCUGUGUAGAUAUUUCGAGUUUCGCUUCUGUAGGGCUGUUUCUGAUGCAAUUUGCAAUAGAUUGCGUCAUCUCUGUUCAUUAGCAGUAGUUUUGCUGGAACUUUACUGGAUUGUUGCUUAGGCUAGUUCAGGGGUGCCAAUGGGGAUGGAAUUGCCUUAUCAGGUCUUCUCAGCUUAUAUACUUAUCCUAUAGUUGUUCUGGGUGUAGUGGUUGUGCUGGUUUCUUUAAUGGAAAUGGGAGGGGAUCUGCCCUUCUUGCUAAAAAAAAAGUAGAUUGCAAAAUGAUUAAUUGAGUUUUCUCUGUUUACUUUUUUUUUAUUAUUUUUUUGCGCCGGGCUGAGUUUUCUGUGUGUUGGCAUCUUGCAACUGUCGAGAAAGGUCUAUUUAACUGAAGUUUGGCGCUGGUUAAUAUCCUAGUAUGUUUCUUUGUCCCUGUAGACCUGAUUACUAACCUGGAAUCAAUAUCCUCAAUUGCAUUAGAGUGAUUACUUUUGUUGGGGUACACAAAUCAUUGCUAGCUAAAUAUCUGGAGGGUAAUGCUGAACUAUGGUUAUUUAUUUUCAACAUAGUAUUCUGUUAAACUGAAUAUAUAAAUUUUAUCUUUGACAAGCACUAAUUCCUGUUCUUUACUGUUGGACUAAUUGUGCCUCACAUGUGUAUAGAAGUUACAAAUGGCCCCUUCCUCUUCUGGUACUAGUUAGUAGGAAAAGCUGCAUUCACAAACAAUUGGUUGAGCUGAUAUGGCUACAUCUGUUUGGCAGUUUCACUUGAUUUCUUCAGUGAUAUAAGCAUUCCUGGGCACUUGAUGCAGUAUGGCACAGCUAGGGCGCUAGAUGGUAGGUGGAUGCUGAAGACUGAAGAUGGUGAUGAGCUCUAUCUUGAUUUAGAUGAAGAGGUAAUGAUGACAUUGAACAAGGCGUCCUUGAUAAGGUUUGUCUGCCCUUUUCAUGUCGACUUGCUGAUUCAUGAUGAGAGGGCAAUAUCUUUUGAUUGGUGUGAUUCAGACAUGCGACUUGUUUUGUUAGUGAAUGUGACUGUAACUUGUUUAUUUUGCUAGGAUAGUUACAUGUACUUAGUAACUCAGUGAACCUGUGAUUGUAUUUGGAACAUGACUGGAUUUGGCUGUUAACUAGGUUGUAAAUUUUGUGUUGUAUUGGAUGUUUGAUGCUAAUUGGGUUGUUACCUUUGUGCUAUAUGGGUUGUUAUUGUGUUUGA